rnacentral:rRNA from 1 species
GACGAACGCUGGCGGCGUGCUUAACACAUGCAAGUCGAACGGAAAGGCCCUGCUUUUGUGGGGUGCUCGAGUGGCGAACGGGUGAGUAACACGUGAGUAACCUGCCCUUGACUUUGGGAUAACUUCAGGAAACUGGGGCUAAUACCGGAUAGGAGCUCCUGCUGCAUGGUGGGGGUUGGAAAGUUUCGGCGGUUGGGGAUGGACUCGCGGCUUAUCAGCUUGUUGGUGGGGUAGUGGCUUACCAAGGCUAUGACGGGUAGCCGGCCUGAGAGGGUGACCGGCCACAUUGGGACUGGGAUACGGCCCAGACUGCUACGGGAGGCAGCAGUGGGGAAUAUUGCACAAUGGGCGGAAGCCUGAUGCAGCAACGCCGCGUGCGGGAUGACGGCCUUCGGGUUGUAAACCGCUUUCGCCUGUGACGAAGCGUGAGUGACGGUAAUGGGUAAAGAAGCACCGGCUAACUACGUG